rnacentral:rRNA from 1 species
GACGAACGCUGGCGGCGUGCUUAACACAUGCAAGUCGAACGGAAAGGCCCUGCUUUUGUGGGGUGCUCGAGUGGCGAACGGGUGAGUAACACGUGAGUAACCUGCCCUUGACUUUGGGAUAACUUCAGGAAACUGGGGCUAAUACCGGAUAGGAGCUCCUGCUGCAUGGUGGGGGUUGGAAAGUUUCGGCGGUUGGGGAUGGACUCGCGGCUUAUCAGCUUGUUGGUGGGGUAGUGGCUUACCAAGGCUUUGACGGGUAGCCGGCCUGAGAGGGUGACCGGCCACAUUGGGACUGGGAUACGGCCCAGACUCCUACGGGAGGCAGCAGUGGGGAAUAUUGCACAAUGGGCGGAAGCCUGAUGCAGCAACGCCGCGUGCGGGAUGACGGCCUUCGGGUUGUAAACCGCUUUCGCCUGUGACGAAGCGUGAGCGACGGUAAUGGGUAAAGAAGCACCGGCUAACUACGUG